rnacentral:lncRNA from 1 species
GGCGUGGUGGAAGGUGCCGGUAUGGUUGUUGCGGCCGGAGCUUCUACAAAGGCAGUUGCAAGUGCUGUACAUUUGCUGGUCAGAAGGUGGAUGCCGAACCUCAAGCCAACCCUUAAAAAAGUUUUAAUUUGUUUGGAUUUCUGUGUGUGUUAUUUCAGUACAUGUGUGUUAGUGUGUGUUGCAUGAGAAGUGUGAAUAAUAAGGUGCAUGAAUGAAUGAAUGAAUGAUAAUAUAUCAUAUGUAUAUUCGUUCAUGCACAAACACGUAUUAUGGGUGCAUUAUACUUUUGCCCCAGCGGUCGUGUCAAAUUAAUAAAAACUCAUUUUGCUACUUUAAUUUAUCUUAUUAUUAUUAUAAACUUUAUCUCAUCCUUUGCUUUGGUACGAAUAUUACUUAAUUAUUUAAAAUUUAAGUUAGCAGUACUGUGAAAAGGAAAUGAGAAAAGUAGAGUAGUUGGUCAAAUUUCAGUCUCCUAAUUGACCAGAUGCAAAUGGCAUGUUUGUUUAUGUUUCUAAAACACAUUUUCCAAUUUUAUACUACUUAUAAAACACACAUCAUGUGUUUGUUAAUUGUAUCCGCCAGAAAUUAUUAUUUGUUCUUAUUAAAUAUUUAUUGAAAAUACAUUAUUCAUAUUUUUUUCAAUUUUCAAACAUACUAAAACUUACUAUUGAUCUAUAUAUUUUAUUAUACCAGCUCAUUUCUCUCUCAUUCUAUUCAUCUCUGUUCAUUAAUAUUCACACUCUUUCUCCUCUCAUUUCUCCCUUCUCAUUAGUAUUUGCAGUCUCUCUCCUCCCAUUUCUCUCGCCUCAUUAAUAUCUCAACCUUUCACUCUCUCUAAUAAUAAUCAUAAUAAUAAUAAUAAUAAUAAUAAUAAUCAUCAUAUUCAAUCAUAUAUAUUAUAUUUUUUCAUGUACUUUCGUAGAGAAAACUACAACCAAACAUAUUCUUAUUUUCACACCUUUAUAAGACUUAUAUUUUACUUCAUUCAAAUAUAUUCUCAUUUUCUACACAAAAACUAAUAUAUAUCUACUUUUUCAGUACUGAUCAGCAAUUAAUUUGUACAUGCAUGCAACUGCAUAUCUAGCUAAUACAUACAUAGAGAGAGAGAGAUAGAUCUAUUCUUUUUUUUUUGGACUAUUAUAUUGCAUGUGGAUAAGUAUUAUAUCAUAAAGCACAACUUGCAUGAACCAUUAAAUUAGUGUGUGUGCCCUCUCUUAAAGAAAGGGGACCCUGCAUGUAUAAAGUAUUUCUUCAUCUUCUUUUUACAAAGUGUAGGGUUUCGGGAUACUUAAUUAAUUUAUAGCAAUGGAUUGUAUGUUAUUAUAUACUUCAUGCCUCCUGUCAUUCUAUUUACAUAUAUGUAUUUAUAUAUCAUGCAAAAACCUAGUUGAUCAUCUAUGUUAGAAACUCAAUUAAAUCAAUAUAUAGAUAAAUGUAGCAUAUAUAUAUGGGGUGAACAAAAAACCUCAUGUGAGUUGCGGUAAUCUCUAAAGUAAGGUCAAAUUAUGAAGAAAAAAAAAUAUUCUAUUUGGGUAAUUAUACAACCACGCCUCAACUAUAAAUCUUCUUAUACCACCGCCUUUAUAUAUGUCAAAUUCAACAAUCUUCUAGAUUCUAUAGAAUGUUCUCUAAUUUGUACUUGUUCCGUGAAAAAUGCAUUUUAUGACGCACCACAAUCUGAUAUUUAUAAGUCAAGAGACACAUUUAUUAUGAUCAUCUUGUUUCAAAAUGUAGAGUUCGAAUAUUCUAAAUAAUAUAUUGUAUUCUACUGAAUUUAUUUUAUUUAUAUAUAUAUAUAUAUAUAUAUAUAUAUAUAUAUAUAUAUAUAUAUAGUUAUGUGUGAUUUUAUACACACGUGUAUGUGCCAAAUACAGAUAUAGCUGAUCUCAGGUAGGGGCCUGAAGAUCUAUGGUUGUGGAGCUUAAGGAAGAUAAGGUGAUGCCGUGUAGCAAUUGAGAGACAAGAAAGUUAGUCAAUUAUGAUAAAUAUGUUCACAUUACAAAUGGUUGAUUUUGCAAUGAUAGCUGAAACAUGUACAUGUGCAUUUGCAUGUGAAGACAUCACAUAGGACAGUUAGCAUAUAUUGCUCCAUACGUACGUAGGGUACAACUUUUUGGUUUUUUUUUUUUUUGGUUUUUUUUUUUUUUCUUUUUUUCCGGAAGAUGGUUAUGGAACUAUAUAUAUACUUCUUCUCCCGGUGUUUUGAAUCCAUAACCGAAUAGAUUUUAGGUGCAAUGUGCUUACCAACAAAUAUAAAAACACUAAUAUUAUUGUGGUUUACAUUAAAAUAGAUUAUAUUGCUGUUUCACACAGUAAUAUUGUUAUAUUACUAUCUAGCACAGUAGUAUUAACACAACAAAAUUACUAUACUACGUAAUAACUUCAUGUGUAAUAUAAUAAUAUUAUUACAUAGACCGGUCAACAAAGAUAAACAAAAUAAGGAAAAACAAAAAAAACUAAAAAAAAUAAUAGGAUGCGGCUAUAUGCAAUACUAAUUCCACUUGUGCAAUACCAAAUUAAAGAAAUAUUCCAAAAGAUUCCAUUUUAUGAACAUGAAAUGACAAAUAUACCCAUAAACCAAAUUGACUUUUGUUUGCUCAUGCAAGACCAAAUAACAAAUAAUGAAAAAACAAAAAAAACAAAAAGAAAAAAACAAAGAAAACGUGAAAUUUAAAACACACCCCCCGGCCCCCCCAACCAGCACAGUAAUAUUAACACAACAAAAUUACUAUACUACGUAAUAAAUUCAUGUGUAAUAUAAUAAUACUAUUAUAUUGACCGGUCAACAAAGAUAAACAAAAUAAAUAAAAACUAAAAAAACUAAAAAGAAUAAUAGGAUGCGGCUAUAUGCAAUACUAAUUCCACUUGUGCAAGACCAAAUUAAAGAAAUAUUUCAAAAGAUUCCAUUUUAUGAACAUGAAAUGACAAAUAUACCCAUAAACCAAAUUGACUUUUGUUUGCUCAUGCAAGACCAAAUAACAAAUAAUGAAAAAACAAAAACAACAAAAAGAAAACAAAGAAAACGUGAAAUUAAAAAAACCCACCCACCCCCCACCACCCCCACCCCCCACCCCCGAAUCUCCGCCGCCCAAGCUUUGCCGCCGACCGACGCUCGGGAUGCGACAUCUUGAUGUCUUGUACAUACUUUUGAAACCUUGAAUGAAUUUGGACAAUAAACUGUGUAUUUGCAUUCGUCUUUUGCUAUAAAAAAUAAAUGAAUAUUGAAAUAAAAAGUAAUUGGAAAAUAGAAAGUCAAAAAAAAAAUAUGAAACAACUAAAUUUCGACAUUAAGGUGUCGAAUAUAUGUCCAUCAAUUCGACACCUUAAAGUCAAAAUUUAUUAUAUUUGGACUAAUUUACUAACAGUUAAAUUUCGACACUAAGUUGUUGAUUUUGUACUCCAAAUUCGACAUCUCAAUGUCGAUUUUUACCUAUAAAAUUCGACCUGUACAUGUCGACUGCGUCUGCGCGAGAUUUUUUUUUGAAAAAACGAUAUUCUAGCUAAAAAACACAUAAAUGCAUAUCUUUCUUGGGUUCUUGCACCGUAUAAUCUUCUAUUUUGAUGUCUUCUAACUCCAUACUUGCCAUGUUUGUAAGAUUUGUUGAGUUUUGAUGAUUUUGAAUGUCUAGGUUUUGUGGGUUUAUGGAGGAGGAAGGAGAAAAGUUGUGAGUUUUGGAAGAUGAAGAAGAUGAGAGUUGGUUUUGUGGUUUUGUGAUAGGGUUUUUUGUGUUUAUGAGUUUUUGGUAUUGCACAUUUGAAAUUUUCUAUUUUUUUAACAACUAAGGGUAUUAUAGUAUUUAUACAUUGAAAAUUUUAAUUUGGUAUUGCAGAAGUAGAAUUAGUCUCGCAUAUAGCCGCAGUCAAAAUAAUAUUGAUGUUGUUGAUAGCACUAUUAAUAUCCAUUACAGUAGUAUUAGUGAGGUUGAUAGUAAUAUAACUGUCAACCACAGUAAUAUUAAAAUACUAGAUAAUAAUAUUAUUACGUUGACCGGUCAACAAAAUAAAAAAAAAGAAUCUAAAAUAUAUAAUAUUGAGGUAGUUGAUAGUAAUAUUAUUGUGGUUGACAGUUAUUUAUUAAUAUUAAUGUGGUUGAGAAUAAAAUUACUGUAAACAAAAUGAACAAAAUAAAUAAUAAAAAAAUAAAAUAACAUUGAUGUAGUUUAUAGUAAUAUUACUGUGGUUGAUAGUAAUUUAGUAAUAUUAUUGUGGUUGACAGUAUUUACUGUAAAUGAUCAGCGGCAGACGGGACAAAAAGUUUUACCAAAAGAAAAAAGUGGACGUUAUCGGAUACCGACGUUGACCGUGUCAUUGGCGGCGGCGACGAAAAAAAAAAAGCAUAAAGACAAAAAUCGAAAAAAAGUCAACGCCGCCAGUCAGCUACGGCGGAGAAAAAGAAGAAAGAAGAAGAGUAAAAAAAAGGAAAAAAAUGUCAACACUGCUGGAGACCGUUGUUGAUCGGCUGUUAGUGGCAGCGGUGGCGAUGGAAAAAGAAAAGCAUUUUCAUUUUGGUUUCAGUAGGAAUGCAAAUAAGUUCUCCUGGAGUUAUAUGCAAUUCUCCUCCUUUAAAUAAUUUAAGAAUAGCAAUAAUAUUUGGAACACCAUGGCCAAGUUCAGUGGCAGCGAGAAAUCUUCAGUACAAAUAAAAGAGCCCUGAGUUGGAACCGACUAAAUUCUAUUAAUUUAACGAAAUAUUUUUAACACGCUAUUUGUGGAUGGUGCCUAAAAAACAUAUUAUUUAAAUAAGGGUAUUAAUUUUAUAGAUGUUCUCCUUUAAUCGUAAAGGAAGAAUAAUUAUCCGGCUACAUAAAAUCCAGACUUCCCAUUAAGUAGUACGGUCACACAUAAAAGUAAUUAAUCCGGCUACAUAACGAAAUAGUGUAUUAAUAUAUCUGCAGAAUUUCAAUUAUUAUAUAAUAUGUAUGGGUGUGGGUGUGCAUGUGAUAUAUCAAGAAUGGAUAAGAGAUAUAUGCAAUUAAUUAAUUAAUUAAUUAAUUAAUUAAUUAAUGAAAGAUAAGGUUGUGUUUGGACUCAUUUAAAAUGCCUCUUCCACAACUAUACAAAUAUGGGCCAACAUAUCACCCCUCUACUUGUAUAGUUUUCUUCUAUAAAUAGAGAAGCCAAUCAGAGAGCAUUCUCAUCAAAAACAAAUAGCAAAACAUCAAAUUAAGUCAUCAAAAAAUGGCAUCCAAAGCAAUAGUUUAUCUUGUCCUUUUGUUGGCUAUGGUUGUUUUCAUAUCAACAGAAGUUGCAGCUAGGGAUCUCGCUGAGACAUCCAACACAGUUGAUGCAUGUAUGAAAUUUCUUUCUCUCUCUAAAACUUAAUCUCAAGUAUUCAUGUUAAUGUAUGUCCUAAAGAUUAAUUUGUCACUUAAUCUAGCUAAAAUAUACUUUUUUUACUACAUUAAUAAAAUUAGCGACGGAAGUUGAGGGGACAAAUGGAGCCGUCAAUGAUGCCAAAUACGGAGGCAACUAUGGCGGCGGCCGCGGCAGCAACUAUGGAGGCGGUGGACGAGGUGGAAGGUGCCGUUACGGUUGCUGUGGCCGGAGCUACUACAGAGGAGGUUGCAGGUGCUGUACAUUUGCUGGUCAGAAAGUGGAUGCCGAACCUCAAUCCAAGCCUUAAAAAAAAAUAAUUUGUUUGGAUCUCUGUGUGUUAUUUCAGUACAUGUGUGUUAUGUGUAAGUGUGUGUUGCAUGAGAAGUGUGA